ACGAACGCUGGCGGCAUGCCUAACACAUGCAAGUCGAACGAGACCUUCGGGUCUAGUGGCGCACGGGUGCGUAACGCGUGGGAACCUGCCCUUAGGUUCGGAAUAACUCCCCGAAAGGGGUGCUAAUACCGGAUAAUGUCUUCGGACCAAAGAUUUAUCGCCUUUGGAUGGGCCCGCGUUGGAUUAGCUAGUUGGUAGGGUAAAAGCCUACCAAGGCGACGAUCCAUAGCUGGUCUGAGAGGAUGAUCAGCCACACUGGGACUGAGACACGGCCCAGACUCCUACGGGAGGCAGCAGUGGGGAAUAUUGGACAAUGGGCGAAAGCCUGAUCCAGCAAUGCCGCGGGAGUGAUGAAGGCCUUAGGGUUGUAAAGCUCUUUUACCCGGGAUGAUAAUGACAGUACCGGGAGAAUAAGCUCCGGCUAACUCCGU
rnacentral:rRNA from 1 species